rnacentral:lncRNA from 1 species
AGUCCUGAUCAGCGAAAACAGAAAACCGUCUCGGAAGGUUGUUAACCAUCCUUUGAAUUAGAAUGUUUGGUACCAUUUUCAGUGUUUUCCACUUUUUACAGCUCCCAUUCACAUACCCAUCAAACCAUUUCGUCACACAUCUUGCAAGUACGAGGUAAUAAUUUCACUUCAUCUUACAUUUUUAUUUUUCUGACAAAACUUCAUCUUAUAUUUUAUUAAUCUCUUCUGUUUCCUUCAACCUUCGUCGCAUAUUUUCUAAAGAGAUAUCUGGUUUUGUUUUGUUUUGUUUGGUUCCUUUUUUCUUCAUAUUCUGCUGUUUGCCAAAGUUGAAAUCUUCAUAUGUUUGAUUAUGUGGUGACUAAAAUUGCUUUUAAAUUAAUCGUUUUGGUUAAAAAUGAGUUAAAUGUAAAACUAUUCAUGUUUGGAUAUAUUUAUGUAAAAAUGAGUUGACCAAUACACUUUAGGACGUAUUUACAUAAACGUGGUUUGGGCAAGUGGAGAGAAGACAUAUAGAUUAUGUAGUACGAAGACUAAAUCAGAUUGAGGGUAUUCGUAUCGUUGGUUGGAAGUAGAGGAAAGACUAAAAAAAAGACCUAGAGAUCAAUGAUUUAGAGAUAUGAUACAUGAAAUAACAUUUUGACGUUGUUUGAUCCAUGUAGCCGAUCCUAUUUAAUGGAGUAAGACUUGGUUGUUGUUUCAAUUCAACCCAUAUGAGAGACGCACCACAUCUUUACCCGAAACCUUAAGGCAUUAGAUUUAUGAGGCAUGUCGCUUAUAAAGUACUCAACCUUCACUUUUCCAAGCAAUGUCAGACUUCUAACUCACCUCACACUUGACACAACACGGUGAAUUUUUUAUUUUAUUUUAAGUCAGUAGU